UACAGAGGUCCCAAGCGUUGUUCGGAUUCAUUGGGCGUAAAGGGUGCGUAGGUGGUGCCGUAAGUCAGGUGUGAAAUCUCGGGGCUCAACCCCGAAACUGCACUUGAUACUGCGGUGCUCGAGGACUGGAGAGGAGAUUGGAAUUCAUGGUGUAGCAGUGAAAUGCGUAGAUAUCAUGAGGAAGACCAGUGGCGAAGGCAGGUCUCUGGGCUGACACUGACGCUCAUGCACGAAAGCGUGGGGAGCAAACAGG
rnacentral:rRNA from 1 species